UAAUUAGGAACCUAAUUCUUCUUGUUUCUACAAUCAAAAGUGUCUUCUGCUGCUGUUGAUCUUGCUGCAGAAAUUGCAGUUAAACCGCCUGUGUAUCUGAAGCCACCGGAGUGCCAAACCAUUUAGGAGAAACUCUUGCCAAACGUUUAACCAAUUGUGGAUUUGCAUCCAAUCUUCCAGGUGGUUCAAGUACUAUUACUUCAAAGAGUAUUUCUCAGCAUUCACAUCGCCAUCAGCUAAAUUAUCAGAUUCUUAUAUCGGCAUUGCACGAGUCCGAGGAAAAACGAGGUUGUAUGGCCUCAGCAGGACAAUCUGGUGAAUCAUCGGAAAACACAGAUUCAUUGGCAAUAAGGGAAUUCUACAUGAAGAAAGCUGCACGAGAGGAGAAGAGAUGACCGCUGAAAUAAUUAAAUGAUGAAAUGCCUCAUUAUACUUGUUCAAGGUUAGUUAGUGUCUUCUCUAAGAAGGAGAGUUGUUUUCUUUGUUUGGGUGUGUUUGGCAGGAGGAAAAGACAAAUAUCCAGAGGAUGAUGUAGUUGUGUAUAGAAAGCAAACAGGGAUGUUGUAGAGAAGACAAAUAUUCAGUUAGAUAAUAUUGGCCAUAAACUCGUAUCCAAGAUGGGUUGGAAAGAAGGUAACUUAAACUAUUUACCUAACUUUCUGAUUAAUUCUGAAUGACUAGGUAUGCAGGAGAAGGUCUAAGGAGCUUUAGGAUUAAAUUGCAAAUAUAAUAAUGGCAGGUCUUUGGUAGACCAAGUAAUAUGAUAAUUAUGGACUGAGAUUAUUGAAAAACAAAUGGAGAGCAAGAUAUUAUAAGGGUUCAAACUUAUAUUUGAUUUAUGUUUAUUUUUAUUUUAUAAGAAUGAGAAACAAUAUGUAUUUAAGAGAAAUAUUAUGUAAGUUUGUUUUAGUAAAUAUGAAUGAUUUAGUUUCACUAAUAAAAAAAAUUAUUUUGAG